UACGUAGGGGGCAAGCGUUGUCCGGAAUCAUUGGGCGUAAAGAGCGUGUAGGCGGCCCGGAAAGUCUGGUGUGAAAUCUUAGGGCUCAACCCUAAGCUGUCACUGGAUACUGUCGGGCUUGAGUCCGGAAGAGGAGAGUGGAAUUCCUGGUGUAGCGGUGGAAUGCGCAGAUAUCAGGAGGAACACCCAUGGCGAAGGCAGCUCUCUGGUACGUGACUGACGCUGAGACGCGAAAGCGUGGGGAGCAAACAGG
rnacentral:rRNA from 1 species